rnacentral:rRNA from 1 species
UACGUAGGGUCCGAGCGUUGUCCGGAAUUAUUGGGCGUAAAGGGCUCGUAGGCGGUUUGUCGCGUCGGGAGUGAAAACUCAGGGCUCAACCCUGAGCGUGCUUACGAUACGGGCAGACUAGAGGUAUGCAGGGGAGAACGGAAUUCCUGGUGUAGCGGUGGAAUGCGCAGAUAUCAGGAGGAACACCGGUGGCGAAGGCGGUUCUCUGGGCAUUACCUGACGCUGAGGAGCGAAAGCAUGGGGAGCGAACAGG